GACGAACGCUGGCGGCGUGCUUAACACAUGCAAGUCGAACGGAAAGGCCCUGCUUUUGUGGGUUGCUCGAGUGGCGAACGGGUGAGUAACACGUGAGUAACCUGCCCUUGACUUUGGGAGAACUUCAGGAAACUGGGGCGAAUACCGGAUAGGAGCUCCUGCUGCAUGGUGGGGGUUGGAAAGUGUCGGCUGUUGGGGAUGGACUCGCGGCUUAUCAGCUUGUUGGUGGGGUAGUGGCUUACCAGGGCUUUGACGGGUAGCCGGCCUGAGAGGGUGACCGGCCACAUUGGGACUGAGAUACGGCCCAGACUCCUACGGGAGGCAGUAGUGGGGAAUAUUGCACAAUGGGCGGAAGCCUGAUGCAGCAACGCCGCGUGCGGGAUGACGGCCUUCGGGUUGUAAACCGCUUUCGCCUGUGACGAAGCGUGAGUGACGGUAAUGGGUAAAGAAGCACCGGCUAACUACGUG
rnacentral:rRNA from 1 species